GACGAACGCUGGCGGCGUGCCUAACACAUGCAAGUCGAACGAGACCUCCGGGUCUUGGUGCGCACGUGGGCGUAACGCGUGGGAACCUGCCCUUAGGUUCGGAAUAACUCCCCGUGAGGGAUGCUAAUACCGCUGAAUGUCUUCGCGCCAAAGAGUUAUCGCCGUUGGGUGGGCGCUGGUUGGUUUAGCUGGUUGGUAGUGUAAAAGCCUGCCAAGGCGUCGAUGCAUGGCUGGUCUGGGAGGAUGAUCAGGCGCGCUGGGAAUGAGACCCGGCCCAGACUCCGACGGGAGGGAGCAGUAGGGAAUAUUGGAGGAGGGGCGAAAGUCUGGUCCAGCAGUGUGGCGUGAGUGAUGAAGGCCUUAGGGUUGUAAAGCCCUUUUACCCGGGAUGAUAAUGACAGUACCGGGUGAAUAAGCUCCGGCUAACUACGUG
rnacentral:rRNA from 1 species